rnacentral:rRNA from 1 species
GCUUAACCGGAGAAGUGCAUCGGAAACUGGGAGACUUGAGUGCAGAAGAGGACAGUGGAACUCCAUGUGUAGCGGUGGAAUGCGUAGAUAUAUGGAAGAACACCAGUGGCGAAGGCGGCUGUCUAGUCUGUAACUGACGCUGAGGCUCGAAAGCAUGGGUAGCGAACAGGAUUAGAUACCCUGGUAGUCCAUGCCGUAAACGAUGAGUGCUAAGUGUUGGAGGGUUUCCGCCCUUCAGUGCUGCAGCUAACGCAUUAAGCACUCCGCCUGGGGAGUACGACCGCAAGGUUGAAACUCAAAGGAAUUGACGGGGGCCCGCACAAGCGGUGGAGCAUGUGGUUUAAUUCGAAGCUACGCGAAGAACCUUACCAGGUCUUGACAUCUUCUGCCAAUCUUAGAGAUAAGACGUUCCAUUCGGGGACAGAAUGACAGGUGGUGCAUGGUUGUCGUCAGCUCGUGUCGUGAGAUGUUGGGUUAAGUCCCGCAACGAGCGCAACCCUUAUUAUCAGUUACCAGCAUUCAGUUGGGCACUCUGGUGAGACUGCCGGUGACAAACCGGAGGAAGGUGGGGAUGACGUCAAAUCAUCAUGCCCCUUAUGACCUGGGCUACACACGUGCUACAAUGGACGGUACAACG